AGUGAAAUUGCUGGGUCAUAGAGUAAGCAUACAUUUAACUAUAGAAACUGCCAAACUAUUUUCUAAAGUGGCUGUAUCAUUUUGCAUUUGUACCAACAAU
rnacentral:pre_miRNA from 1 species